AGUGCGCCCUGUGUGUGUGUGUUUUUGGUUUGACUGAGAGUGAUCUCAUUUGAGCGCUCCUCUAUAUAAACACACAGGAUUGUAAACAGUGGCUUUGUGUGGGGGCAGAGGCAAGAACUCUCCGCUCCCUUCGGGGAGGUGAAAGGAGACUUACCACACAUCGAACUUUUAACCACUGUCCUGUGAAUAAAGUUGGUUUUAGGACACUGUAGGUGCCAUUCAAACUACCAACUCCAAAAUUUAGAAAAAUAAACCAUGGGAAACUUAAAUAGUAAGCGAAAGUCCCUACCCCGACAUGAACUAAAAUGCAAAGAUUGGAAAAUAAUUGAAAGGCAGGAUCCCGACCGA